UCUGUGGUUCAUUGAGGGAACUUCACUGUAGAACAAGAGUCUCCUAGAGAAAAAGCAUUCGAUCUAUCUUCCUGGAAGAUCUUGGCAUUCGUUCCCCUUAGGGGCUACCCAAAAGAGCAAAAGGGAAAGGCAGAAGGGAUCUCUGGGACCUCACAUCCGUAUUUUAGCAGAGAAACUCCCCUUUUAUCAGUGUUGUUCAUUUUCACUUCAGUGUAAAAUUUCAUUUGAACUAGGAGUUCUAAGGUCAUCAAAUAUUUGAAAACUACUGCUUAAGGGAACACAUGUGGAUUUGUAAAUCCUGCUAAAUCUAUUUAUGUAUUGUGAUAUAAUUCUCCCUACUGAUGCUGUAAAAAAAUUCUUUAAACUGAAAGCUAUGAUAUAAACUAUUCCAACUGACCCCACAUAUCCCCAAAGGCCUCCUUUAAAGUUCUACCCUGUGGUUUGAAUGAGUUUUUGAAAGGAUGCCAAAGAUUUCCUAUCUCCUCUGCUAAAGAGGCUAAGACUACAAAAGAAGCCAAGCCAGGGGGAAAGAAACAUUCCAGCCAUAAAGUUUCAAAGAAUUCUCAGAUAUGAAUUCUGACCCAAGUACCAGAGUGAUUCACUGGCGGGUGAUGCUGAGUAAUCUUACUUUGGACUCUUAAUCCAUGUUCUAUUAAUGGAUUUUAGCCACAGCUCAAAAGGUUAGGAAUUAAAGACCCCAUUUCCACCUCUUUUUAUUAAAUUAUUCUAACCUCAUCCUGGGUAAUUCAUCACUGUCUCACUCGCUCUUGGUACACAGAUUGGGAAUGGAAGGGCCAGUUAAUAUAAUCACCCUGUCCACUUCCCCAAACACAUUCUAAUAACAAAAAAAAAAAAGCCCUAAGUCCAGUUUCUUUGAGAUUUGAGAGGGUGGUUAUUCCAAUUUUACAUUCAGUGCUGCUGAACAGUCAGUUCCUAGAGAUUCUUGCUCCUUAAGAAGUCUCCUUCUUUAGUAGAGUCAUAUCCUUUGCCUUAGUUUUGAUAAUUUUCAAAGUUGUUUAGGUUGAGCCUUUGAACAUCUUGACCAGAUGGCCAUCUGUUGGCAGUUUCCACAGGAUUCACUGAGUGGGCACAAGUCCUGAAGACUACUUGAAGAAAGAGGAUGAAGUUCAGAUGGUUCACACACCUCCAGAAACCUCUUUCAACUGUGAACAGUCCUGGCUUGCUGUACAUGUAGUAAAGCAUACUGAGGAAAUGGAUGCCUUGACUUCACUGAUAUCUGGAAUGGACUGAAUUAUGUCCCCUCAAAACUGGUUGAUGGUGUCAGAACUGAAUUGAAUAAGACACCCAGAUGAUGUGUGCUGGAGAAUGUAGUGUCAAAAGUGUUAUAUCGAGUGAUGUGUGGAAGUAGAGAAAAAGGAUUUUUUUUUCCUCCGACAUAGCCCACGCAGACUAAUACAGUGCCACAUAUCUUCAACAUUUGGAAUCAGCCUGAAGAAGAGAAGUUUCCAGAAGACAUUAUAGCUGUUUUAAAAUAUCUGAAGACAGUGACUACUUUUAGCUUGGUGCAAAAGAAAUUGCAGUUUUUGCUAUUACUUUCAAUGCCAAAAACUGUGAUUAGUUUUGCACCAACCUAAUACAUGGAGAUUCAGAUUUGUUCUCUGUGAAUCUAGAAGGAAAUCUAGAACUGGUUGGAAAUGUUUUAAAAAAUAAGGUAUUUGGCGCAAUUAUAAAAAAAGAAUUUUUAACUGUUAAAGCUUUUCAAAAGAAGAAUGAGAAGGAGCUACAUAACAAAAGUGGGUAAGAUCCCAUCACAUAAAUAACCAUCGAUCUGGAUUCCGAAGCAUCACAAAGAAUGUUGGACUAGCAGAACUCUAUGAUGACUUUUAUGUGGUAAAAGUAGGAUUUUAAAACCCACUCAUCAAGGGUUACCACUAAGUAGCUCACUGUCUUGGGCAAGUUGUCCAAAGUCUCUUCAUCUCAGUUUCCAAAACUCUUUUUAAAAAGAAAGUACAGUUUUUGUGAAAAUUGAAAAGAAUAUAUUAGUCAAGCAACAAAUAAAUCGAAAACAUUAUUAUCAUCAUCAUGCCGUUUGUGUCAUCAAAUGAAAAUAUUCCAAGAAAAGAAAAAACUAUGUAAUACUUUCCAUUCAUAUGAUGAAAGUAUAUAAUUUUUUUCUUACUUUGGGUUUGCUUUAAAAAUAUAACUGUGUGUCUCAUGAAAAGGCAAUCAUAUAAAACCAUUAAAAACCCAAACCCUGGAAGUUUGCCUUACAUCAGAAGAAGAAGAACAACAAAAAGCCUCAGUGAAAUUGAACAGAAUGUUCUCUUUUCCCCGAUGGGUGAGAUGCGAUCUGUACAAGCUGUGAGUGUAGAGAAACAAAUGCUAGUCCUUCGGCUGUAAGGGUCUGGGACAACCUUUCUAACUAAGGCGAAACUGCCUUUUCUGUGAGUCACUUUUUAAAGGAAGGGCUCGCUGCCUGGGAGCAGUUUUGCUGUUUCACAUUUCUUUCAUUCAUCACUUUUCAGGCCCUGCGCCGUCUGGCACAGCCCCGGCCUCUUUGUGUGAAUAUUUGGCUCUCAUUGCUGCGGAGAAGUGAUGUCAGGAGGCUCUGACUCAGGUACAGAAUGGAAGCACAGGCUAUCCCUAAGGCAACUGAGGAGACUGAGGAGCAAGUGGUCUGGAGCAGAACCUGCAAGAUCUCCGAGGUAUACCUGGACUAUGUUUUUCUGUUUUUUUAAUCUGCAGUUUAUCCUUUCUGUUGAGGUUUUACCUUCAACAUUUACAAUUUUUCAUUUCACAUUCUAUUUGACUCUUUGUCAUAUAUUUUUAUGCUGUCCAGAUUUUUUGUAAUAAUUUUAAUAUUUUGUUUCUUUAAUAAAUUUGAAACAAUCAUGUAGGUAUCUUUCAGAGUAUUAU